rnacentral:tRNA from 1 species
UAGCGCAGUGGAUAGCGCGUUGGACUUCUAAUCCAAAGGUCGCGGGUUCGACUCCCGC